UACAGAGGUCUCAAGCGUUGUUCGGAUUCAUUGGGCGUAAAGGGCGCGUAGGCGGACUCUUAAGUCGGGGGUGAAAGCCCAGGGCUCAACCCUGGAAUUGCCUUCGAUACUGAGAGUCUUGAGUUCGGAAGAGGUUGGUGGAACUGCGAGUGUAGAGGUGAAAUUCGUAGAUAUUCGCAAGAACACCAGUGGCGAAGGCGGCCAACUGGUCCGAUACUGACGCUGAGGCGCGAAAGCGUGGGGAGCAAACAGG
rnacentral:rRNA from 1 species